rnacentral:lncRNA from 1 species
UUUACAUUUACACAUAAUCAAUUAAACAUUAACAGAUAAAUAUAUAGUCAUUGUAUGACCAAACAACAUGAUUCAUAUAAUACAUGUAUUUAUAAUAUCACUACAAAUGAUCAUUUAGAAUGUUGUUACAACCACAUACUCUGUAAAAAUAAAUAAGUAAAUAAAAUGCCUGGAAUGAAGAUUCAUGUGUAAAAAUGAGAUUGCUUUAGAGGAAAAAGAUUAAGAUCUCCUUUUCAAAUAAUAAAUCACAAAGAAGAGCAUUUAUAGAUUUUCUUUUUUACACGAUAAUUGGCCUUUUCAGUAUCUAAAAGACUAUGGGUAAUAUCAUCGUUUAUACACCAAAAACAAAAUAAAGGUACAUCAUUGAUUCAAUUUCAAUUGUUUAGGAUGUUUUAACCAAUCACAAUGUUUUGGUGUUAGUUUUUGAAAAUAUUACCCAGAAUGCAUCAGACUUUAAAAUGGAGAAUUGUCCAUUUUCAUCAAGAUUAAUCCACACCUUUCAAUAGAAUGAAAAAUGAUAAUUAACAAUUAUAACAUGAUAUCCAAAUAAAAAGAUUAAUUGUACUGAUUGGAUGUUAUUGGGCAUGUGAUAUUUUCUAUUAUUGUGUUAACUUUCCCUUAGGCAAUUAAGAAUAAAAUAAUUCAUCUUCUUAUGCUGUAUUUACUUAAAUAAGAAGCCUAUUCGAAAAUUACCUAUCCAUUUCCCAGUGACAAAUAAAAGCAAUUUUUCAUAUAACCUUAAACUUUCUAUUGGACUGUUAAUACUGUACAAAUUCUUUUAAAUUCAAACGAGCAAAUAUAACAUUUUUUCUUAGAAAUUGUUCAAAAAAGUAAAUUUUGACACAAGAUUUUUUCUAU